rnacentral:rRNA from 1 species
UAAUACGGAGGGCGCGAGCGUUGUUCGGAAUUAUUGGGCGUAAAGCGCACGUAGGCGGCCCGGUAAGUCUACCUGUGAAAGCCCGGGGCUCAACCCCGGGAGGCCAGGGGAUACUGCCAGGCUGGAGACAAGCAGAGGUGGGUAGAAUUCCGGGUGUAGCGGUGGAAUGCGUAGAGAUCCGGAGGAAUACCAGAGGCGAAGGCGGCCCACUGGGCUUGAUCUGACGCUGAGGUGCGAAAGCGUGGGGAGCGAACAGGAUUAGAUACCCUGGUAGUCCACGCCGUAAACGAUGGGCACUAGAUGCCGGUGGGAUCGACCCCUUCGGUGUCGCAGCUAACGCAUUAAGUGCCCCGCCUGGGGAGUACGGCCGCAAGGCUG